rnacentral:rRNA from 1 species
GUCUUUUUGAAAAAUAAUUUAAAGUCUGUUCUGCUCAAUGUAUGUUUUAUAAAUAGCUGCAGUAUAUUGACUGUACAAAGGUAGCAUAAUAAAUAGUCUUCUUAAUUAGGAGCUAGCAUGAAUGUGUAGAUGAGAUUUAAUUUGUCUCAAUAAAAUAAAUAAAAUUUAAAUUUUUAGUUAAAAUGCUGAAAUUUAAUUAAGGGACGAGAAGACCCUGUAGAAUUUUGUAUUUUAAUAUAAAUAAUAAUAUUUUAAUAUAAACAAUAUUAUUUAUAUAAAAAUACUUAACUGGGGCAGUUACUAAAUUAAAUUAAAUUUAAGUUUUAAAAAUUAAUUUUUAUAAAAUAAUUAACAUUUAUUUAUGAAAUAUGAUGAAAUAUUUUAUAAUAAAAUUAAAAAAAAUUACCUCAGGGAUAACAGCGUAAUAGUCAUUUUAGAGAACAUAUCAAAAAUUGAUGUUUGCGACCUCGAUGUUGAAUUAAGAUAAAAGUUAGGAAGUAGGAAAUUAAUAUUUAAGACUGUUCGUCUUUUAAUAUCUUACA